CUUGUGUUUCAUAAUACUUGUCAUUCUUUUGUUUUCUAACUUUAUGUUUUCUAUUUACCUGACAAUCUGUCUGGCUCCAGCCCCGAAUUCAGAUCCAAUCCGCAUAUUACAAAGAAAUGUUAGGGUAACCUCAGAUGUGUAGCUCCGUUUGUUUCGAUCACAGCUGGCUGACAUGUCACGUCGUGCGCCUCGUCCGCUAUCAGAUCAUUUUGUGUCGAUCAGCAUCUUUAUCGCUGCCGCCGUUCGACAGUCACUAGGAACACGCGAGAACUUGCCAUGGGAAAAAUCACACACGCACUUCACGCUCUAGUUUUCAGAGCGCUUUUCGCUCGCAUCAGCCAUUUUGUGUUUUGAUUUAUGAGAGAUGACGACAUUGUACGAAGAUGUGCGAAAUCCAGCUGGAUGUAUGCUUGGUUGUCCACAUUUGCAAAUUGUUUAAAAGUUUAAAGGAAGAAAAAUGUUUAAAAACGUGUUUAAAAUCAAUAAUUAAUCAACAAUUAUAUUAAUAUUACAUAUUUUUAAAUUUUAUGAAUGAUAUAAUAGUUUAAACUUUAAUUUAAAUGCG